GGGGGCGUGUGGCUUCGACGGGGACGUGGGUUGCGAGAUGGCGUGUCGAGCCCCGGGCUCGUAAAACCGGGAAAGGCAUUAACUGCCAACCACUCGAGCCAACCGGCUCUGGCCUACGCCGCCUGAUCUGAUCAGGAGGUAGUGCCGAAAGCCCAGGCCUAGGCCUGGCGUCGACCGGUCGGGGGCCUGCGACGACCGGAUCCGACGUAAAUACAGCGGGCUAGCCUCGCGGUGGCGUCUCGGCGCCGUGGGGGACGCACACCGAGUCUGGCGGAUCGGCAUCCUGUCCGGAGGAGGCUCUUCCGUGAGAUUAGUUUCCGGGCUACACACGUAGAGGUCUCGUGAGACGCGUUCUCGGACCCGGGUUCGAUUCCCGGCGCCUCCACCA
rnacentral:tmRNA from 1 species